GUCAAACCAACUGUCUUGUACAAAGUGUCAUCAUUGUGAACUCUCGUGACAGACAGAGGGGCAGUGUAAGGACUCAUCUGCUGAAACUUCAAAAGAUCUCUACACUCAGGGACAUCUUUGAUUUGGUGAGACCAGGCCCCCCACUUAGUGUAUUUGACAAGCUGAGUUUGACACUCUGUAUCCGUGAGUGUCAGUUUGUCAAAUACCCCAAGUGAGGUGUCACUUGUCUACAAGUUGACUCCGCAGACUAAGCACACAAUUCUGCAGGAUGAUCUACCGUACCAAGGAAAGACCAGAGCUGCAAGCUGGAGGUGCUUUGCAACUUUUGACGAUAUAGACAAAGUAUACUGGUUAAAGUGUUAACCAUGAAGACCGACAGAUGCUCUGUCCCUUCAUUAUAUGUUUAUCUGCAAUGAGGGGGCAGAGUUAAUAUCUCUCAUAUAGCCUACAUGCAUCUGUUAAGGGUCCACAUAUGUAUCAGUGAAACAGUAAAGGCUUGUUUGAAUUUUGGAGAGUUAAGUGAGGAGAUAAACUAACUAAAGAAAAUCCUAAUCUCAUGAACCUAGACAUGUUUAUCCUCAUUUAUAUUUUAAGGGUUUUAGGAUAGUUACUAUUUCACAGUCAAACUAAACAUACUGUUACGCUCUGAAAUAAUAAAGAAAUAACACAAAUAGUACUAAUUAUAUUAAAUAUAUUUUUUUCAUUUUUAUCAUGUUCAAAAUUCUAGAAUAACCCAAGUGUCACAUGAUGCUAAGUGUUACUUCCAGUCGUAAAUGUAUCUCAUAUCUUCAGACUCUGACUUGGUAAAGAAAGGGAAAUAAACUAGUUGGACCUCUUUUGAAGAAUUUGUUUAUAACCUAGGUAGGCCUACAGUUUAAAUACUCAACAAAAAGGAAUCAACCAUGAAGCAACAAAGGUUAAUGUGGAGCAUUGUUUUUUACAGCCUAAUCUUUUUCUAAAGGGUUAAACUAACAUUCAAGAGCUGCAGACAGAAGCUUAUCUUCCAACUGACUUAUACAAGACAACACUUAUCGUCCUGCCUUACAUAUCCUGUUCGUGUGGAGUCAUCCAGUGUUGCCUUGAUGUGCAAGAAGAAAUGUGUUUGACAUUCAAAUUGUAAUUAUUGGCUGCAUUCUCACUUACUGCAUGUAACUUCUGUUUGAACAUUAAAAACGAUAUAAUGCUUUGCCAUUAAAAUGUCCAUGUCAUAAAAGUUGUUAAAAGUUCUAACUUGCUUGAUGUCUGUAAAAAGCAAACACCUCUAUGACUUUUUUAUUUCUUCUACUGUGCAUGAUUGCAGGAGGAAUCUGGUUCCAUAUGGUGGACUUACUGUGUCAAAGGAUGCAUGAGUAAAAGUGUGUUACCCUUUCACGGUUAACAUAUUCAAUAAACAUUGAUUGUGUUUGGUA